AACGGAGAUGGCAUUCCUCCAUAACCGCCUUAACCGGCUGAUGAUGUCUACGUA
rnacentral:ncRNA from 1 species